rnacentral:rRNA from 1 species
CAGUAGCCGCGGGAAUACGUAGGGUGCAAGCGUUAAUCGGAAUUACUGGGCGUAAAGCGUGCGCAGGCGGUCCGCUAAGACAGAUGUGAAAUCCCCGGGCUUAACCUGGGAACUGCAUUUGUGACUGGCGGGCUAGAGUAUGGCAGAGGGGGGUAGAAUUCCACGUGUAGCAGUGAAAUGCGUAGAGAUGUGGAGGAAUACCGAUGGCGAAGGCAGCCCCCUGGGCCAAUACUGACGCUCAUGCACGAAAGCGUGGGGAGCAAACAGGAUUAGAGACCCCUGUAGUCCCUGUCUCUUAUAC